rnacentral:rRNA from 1 species
CGACGUUAGCGGCGGGCCUAACACAUGCAAGUCGAACGCGAAAGGUCUUCGGACUGAGUAGAGUGGCGCACGGGUGAGUAACACGUAGGUAAUCUACCCUUUGGCGGGGGAUAACGUUCCGAAAGGAGCGCUAAUACCGCAUAAGACCACGGAGUCUCCGGACGCUGUGGGAAAAGGUGGCCUCUUCUUGAAAGCUACCACCGAAGGAUGAGCCUGCGUCCCAUCAGCUAGUUGGUAAGGUAAUGGCUUACCAAGGCGAAGACGGGUAGCUGGUUUGAGAGAAUGAUCAGCCACACUGGCACUGGAACACGGGCCAGACUCCUACGGGAGGCAGCAGUGAGGAAUAUUGGGCAAUGGGCGAAAGCCUGACCCAGCCACGCCGCGUGAGUGAUGAAGGCCCUCGGGUCGUAAAGCUCUGUGGAGAGGGACGAAAACCCUGGUUUCAAAUAGGCUCCAGGCUUGACGGUACCUCUUUAGCAAGCACCGGCUAACUCUGUG